rnacentral:rRNA from 1 species
GACGAACGCUGGCGGCGUGCUUAACACAUGCAAGUCGAACGGCAAGGUCCUGCUUUUGUGGGGUGCUCGAGUGGCGAACGGGUGAGUAACACGUGAGUAACCUGCCCUUGACUUUGGGAUAACUUCAGGAAACUGGGGCUAAUACCGGAUAGUAGCUCCUUCUGCAUGGUGGGGGUUGGAAAGUUUCGGCGGUUGGGGAUGGACUCGCGGCUUAUCAGCUUGUUGGUGGGGUAGUGGCUUACCAAGGCUUUGACGGGUAGCCGGCCUGAGAGGGUGACCGGCAACAUUGGGACAGAGAUACGGCCCAGACUCCUACGGGAGGCAGCAGUAGGGAAUAUUGCACAAUGGGCGGAAGCCUGAUGCAGCAACGCCGCGUGCGGGAUGACGGCCUUCGGGUUGUAAACCGCUUUCGCCUGUGACGAAGCGUGAGUGACGGUAAUGGGUAAAGAAGCACCGGCUAACUACGUG